AUGGCUCUUGCAUCAGAACCUAAUGCCUACAAGGUGCAAAAACAGUUUGAUAACAAAACGAUGGUCCUGAAAACUCUUGCCAAAGCAGUUUUGCAAUCCAGAUCAUUAUUAAAACUCCGGACAGAACGACUAGUCUUAUUUCUACUGGAGUUUCAUUCUGAGCUCUUCAAGGCACCGGUUACUUUAUUAGAUCUGAUUAAUAAGAAACUUAAGAUGCUUCUACAUGGAGACGAUCCAGAUGCCAUAUCAGGUAUUGAUCCAGACUUACUCUUUCUUCAUCGUUACGUGACUGUUACAGGUACAUAAUUUGGAAAGGAUGAGUAUGGGUGAGUAAGUAAUAAAUAUAUAAAAGGUUAUAAAAGGUGGUGACAUUAAGGUUAUUUUUUAAUAUCUCCAGAGCAAGUGCUCUUCUUUUCCAAGCCCUUUGAUUACCUUUCUGGAAGGAAAAAAAAAAACAAACUGUCUGUAUCUCAUUGCGGCUCCCAUGUCUCAGACCCGCUUCCACUUAUUACCCGCCUGCCUGCUUCCUUGCUCUGUGUGCCCUGUUUUCUCAUUUUCUUAUUUUCUCAUUUUUCUCUCCAAUUCAUUCUCCUGCUUUUCCCUCCCCCUCCCCUUCCCUCCUCUUUUCUAGGAAAUGAAAAAGUUUUAUAGAGGAGGAGCCUCAAAUACUCUCCAACACCCAGUUGAAUAGACUAAUUCUUUUCACUUAGUGUCUUGGCGCAAUUGAUCUGAUUACUUAAUUUCAAAUUUCUUUAAACAGUAAAAUUUUUUAAUUCAAAUUUCCUAAGAUUGUCAUGUGAGAGACAAAAUAAAAUAAUAGGUAUAAUUUUGGGUGUUAGGGCCAAAUUGCCUGGUUGAGUUAUUUAACCUCUUUGUACUCAACUUCCUCUUCUACAAAAUGGGAAUAAUUGUAUCUACCUCAUAAUUGUUAAAUAUUUACUAUUUAUAUUAAUAAUAUAAUAUAAAUCAUAAAUACUAUAUUUGAAUUGUAUUAUUUAAAUCUUAAAUACUGUUAAUGUUUAAUAUCAGUUGACAUUAAUUUUUUUUUUAUAAUUUUUUUUAAUUUUCCCACUGUACAGCAAGGGGGUCAGGUUCAGUUGACAUUAAUAUUGAAUCCUAUUAUGUGUCAGACACUGCUGAGUACUAACAUGGAAUUAUGAAAUUAUUUAUUUUACACAAUAAUCUAUUAUGUAGGCAUUAUUAUUAUCCCAUUUUAUGGGUAAGAUAGGAGUUCCCUGGUGGCUCAGCAGGUUAAGGAUUUGACAUUGUCACUGCUGUGGUGUGGGUUCCAUCCCUGGCCCAGGAACUUCUGCAUGCCACAGGCAUGGCCAAACAAACAAAAAAAAAACAUUUUAUGGUUAAGAUAACUGAAACUUAGAGAGAUUAAGUGACUUGGCCAACUUAGAAAUGUAGGUAACAUUUCUUCCUUAAAAACCAAAAGGUUUCUAAGAUAUUAUUAAUUCCUAGGAAAACAUUCAUAGAGUAGGGCAUAAAUUUAUUUGCCUGAAUUACGUGGAAUUUCUUAGCUAUGUGCCAUUUUCUGUCAUUCCUUUAAAACUCAUGGCAACAGGUAUGUUACCACAUUAAUCCCGUCUGUUUGAUGCAGUUAAACAGUAAUAAUAUCAGAGUAUUCUGAACCUAACAUCUGGAAUUUUUUUUUUUUUUAUAGCCACACUUGUGGCACAUGGAAGUUCCCAGGCUAGGGGUCUAAUCAGAGCUGUAGCUGCUGGCCUACAUCACAGCCACAGCAACGCAUGAUCUGAGCCGCAUCUGCAACCUACACCACAGAUCAUGGCAACAACGGAUCCUUAACCCACUGAACAAGGCCAGGGAUUGAACCUGAAAACCUCAUGAUUCCUAGUCAGAAUCAUUAACCACUGAGUCAUGACAGGAACUCCUAAUAUUUUUUUCAUUCAAUAAUAUGCUUUAAAGAGAGGCAAUGAAUAUAAGUGCUUUGCACAGUGCCAUGUGCUACAAGCACUUGGAAAGUGAAGAGUUAUGUGAUAGUCUAUUUCGCUAAAUAGCCUAACUAUUCUGUCUCUUGAAGUUUAUCCCUUAUUCAGUAAAAUUGUCAGAUAUAUCAUAUACAAUUUAAUUGCAUUUUUAAAUAGUCUCUAUGUUUUGUGGUGUAUGCUCUUUCCCCCAUGCAUGAAUUGAUUACUUGAAAAUCAUAUGUUUAUUUAAAAUGUCUGUGAUAUCAAAUAUUCAUUCACCCAUCCAUUCACCUAUUCCCUAAACAUUCUUUUGACUGUCUCCUCUAUGCCAGACUUUGUUUAAGAAUCAAAAAAUACACAAUGUAUAAGAUAAUGCCCCUGCUUGCCAUAAGUUUAUGUUCCAGUGUUCAAAGUGACUAGCACAUAGUAGCUAUAGAUAUCAAUAGAUAUUUGUUGAAUAAAUUAAUUCAGUGAAAGAACUAAUGCAUGACAGAGGCAACUAUUUAUAAAUCAAUUGUAAUAAAAUAUGGCAGGGAUAUGUGCAAGCCAGAGUGGGUUAUGGAAGACUGGAGGAGGAAGAUAACCUGACCUAGUUUGAGGGCAUCAGGCUAGGCUUAAGGAGGAGAUAAUGCCUACUAGGAGUGUUAAAGCCUUAGAUGCCAGCUAAACCAAAGGUGUGGAGAAGGGAAGGAUAUUCUGGACAGGAGGAACACUGUGAGCAAAAAUAGGUAUGGCCUAGAAAUUACAGCUGAGCAGUGUCAGGAACUGAAACUAGAGAAACUGAUGUCAAAUCUUGAAGAGCCUCAUUUAGCAACCAAGAAAUUCCCUAGGCAAGUGGGGAGGCUUUUAUUUUUUUAUUUUUUAAAAAGGGGUAUGGUUAGAUUUAUGUUUUCGAUACUUGAGCAGCAGUUUGGAGAAUGGGUUGGCUGGGGACCUAGAGGCAAGGUUCUUAGUUAGGAGACUGUUACAAUAGCCCAAGCAAGAAAUCAUGUAGGUCUGUAUGCUGGUGGAGGCAAGGCAGGUGGAAAGGAGGGGACAGGUUUGAGAAAUAUUUAGGAGGUAAAACUGACAACAUUUGAUUGCAUGUGGAUGUCCAGGAGAAAGGUGACGUAAAUAAAAUUCUCAGGUUUUCAGGUGGGGUGACUGCCACCAAUUCAGACAAAAACAGAAGAGCAUGUUUAGGAAAAUGACUGAAUCCAUUCUGACCUUUUAAGACAUGUGUGGGACAGAGGUACAGUUUCGAAGUUCAGGGGAGAGAUACGAACUAAAACUAAGUAUCCGGGACCAUGUGGAAACUGAGGUCAUCUAGAGUAUGUGGGGCAACAUCGGAGGUCCAGGGGUGGACAUUAAGGGACGCUAGAGUGGAAGGGAUACGUAAAGAGGAAUCUGUGACAGAAACAAAGAAGUAUUAGGAGGGGGAUGAGGUGAAGUCAUGUUCAUAAAGCCAAGGAAAUUCAACUUUUUAAAGAGGAGGAUCCCACGUGACAGCAGAUCAGGUCUCCCCCUGACUCUGGAGCCCAUUAAUGAGAGCUGAUUUAGUAGCUUGAGAGGCAGAAGCCAAAUUUCAGCGGGAUGAAAGGGAAUGAAUGGCUAAGAGAUUAAGCAUGGAUCUAUGGGAAUUCCCAUUGUGGCUCAACGGGAA
ensembl:lncRNA